rnacentral:rRNA from 1 species
AUUGAACGCUGGCGGCAUGCUUUACACAUGCAAGUCGAGCGGCAGCGCGGGGGCAACCCUGGCGGCGAGCGGCGAACGGGUGAGUAAUGCAUCGGAACGUACCCUGGAGUGGGGGAUAACGCCGCGAAAGCGGCGCUAAUACCGCAUAUGCUCUGAGGAGGAAAGUGGGGGACCGCAAGGCCUCACGCUCUGGGAGCGGCCGAUGUCCGAUUAGCUAGUUGGUGGGGUAAAGGCUUACCAAGGCGACGAUCGGUAGCUGGUCUGAGAGGAUGAUCAGCCACACUGGGACUGAGACACGGCCCAGACUCCUACGGGAGGCAGCAGUGGGGAAUUUUGGACAAUGGGGGCAACCCUGAUCCAGCCAUGCCGCGUGAGUGAAG